CGGGGCGUAGCUCAGUUUGGCAGAGCACCUGCCUUGGGAGCAGGGGGCCGCAGGUUCAAAUCCUGCCGCUCCGACCA
rnacentral:tRNA from 1 species